rnacentral:lncRNA from 1 species
GGUAGGAACGAAAAAAUAAAAUAAAAUAAAAUCUUGCUGGUAAAUACAAAUAAAAGAUUUUCAGGCGGAACGAAUUGAUAGGGUCGGUCGGUAAAGGGCAAACAAACAAUAUUUUAAUUUAAGCCUUGAGGCCCGCGUAGUAAUAUCAAAAUCAAACAUUACGCUGAAGACGGGUUCACAAAAAAAGAAUCUCCAAUGGUCAACAAUAAUACAUCGCUCAAGGUGAAUAAUUAUCUAUUUCAACAUAACAACUAAUUUUAACAGUAAAAACAAGUAACAAAACAUUGUCAAAUUUGAAACAGAAGUGUACGAGUUGUCCUACGCUUCAGACUUGACAUUCACUAAACAUGCAUGCUGAAAUUGACAUGGUUGAUUUUGUAACACAAUCAUACACAUUCAAGUUUUGAAUUGGAAUGCAACUGGAAUACACAUUCUGAGGUCACACAGGUUCAAACAAUACUCAGUCCGGCAGUGGGCGGAGCUUUAAAGCGAUAUCUGUAUAGUAUACAGAUACAGCAUAGCGAUAUCUGUAGGGCUGUAUCUGUAUAGUAGGACACCCAAUUGCAGGAUAAAAAUGUAUAAUUGU